UGCGGCUAUCCACUCUUGAGACCUCGACUCCUCGAGUGCUCUCUCCGGUCUCCGCUCCUCCUCUCCCCCACCCCACCCAGCUCCCCAGCUACGCCGGCGGACGGCAGCCCAGCGGCGCCGAGCGUCUACGGGGAUGGUGGUGGCAGUGGCGGUGGCUACUGCCGCGCGGUGGCCCGGCGGAGCCACGGCGCGCCCGCAGGCAGCGAGGGGCUCCUGCCGCGUCGCCGCCGAGCCCGAGCACAAGGCGGACACGGCCAGGUUUGUAAAAUAUAGGUUGUUACCAUGGAUGAAACCAAUAAGACAUGACGUUAGGGUGCAAAUGUCCAAUGUAAAUAUUGGUGCUGGGAGCUAUGAAGAAGAUGGAGCAAAUAGCCAUGGAGAACAUUUGGAUAAUUCUGCUACCAGAGAUUCCAAUAAACCAACAAAACCACUUUCAGGAUCUAGUUUCCAAUCUAUUGGUGCCGCGCUACUUCUCUGCGCCCUGGCAGCUGGUUUUUUCUUUAAAGGACAACCAUCUGCAGUUGUAUCUAUGCUGGCAAAAUCAGGUUUCACGGCAGCAUUUACACUGAUUUUUGUAUCUGAGAUUGGAGAUAAGACAUUUUUCAUUGCCGCACUACUCGCAAUGCAAUAUCAAAAAGCAUUGGUUUUACUUGGGUCAACGGCUGCCCUUUCCCUGAUGACUAUUGUGAGUGUUAUAAUUGGACGGGUUUUCCAGUCUGUACCAACACAGUUUCAAACAACAUUACCGAUAGGAGAGUAUGCUGCAGUUGUUCUGCUGGCAUUCUUUGGUUUUAAGUCAAUAAAAGAUGCAUUGGCACUUCCUGAUAGUGCCAAUGGGAACAUUGAGGGAAACUCUGAGAGUGGGGAACUGGCUGAGGCUGAGGAGCUUGUCAAAGAAAAGGUUUCUAAGAAGCUCACCAGCCCUCUUGAGGUCCUUUGGAAGUCCUUCAGUCUUGUUUUCCUUGCGGAGUGGGGAGAUCGGUCUAUGCUGGCUACAAUUGCUUUGGGUGCUGCACAGUCUCCUUUGGGCGUUGCUAGUGGAGCCAUAGCUGGACACUUGAUUGCAACUGUCCUUGCUAUUCUUGGGGGAGGAUUCCUGGCCAACUACCUAUCCGAGAAGCUGGUUGGCCUGCUAGGAGGAGUAUUAUUUUUGCUCUUUGCUGCAGCAACUCUAUUUGGUGUAUUCUAACCCAUCUGAAGAAUCUGUGACUAGGGAAAACCAAGUCGGCUUGUUGGCAGGCGUGCUUUCAGUUUUGUCAGCCAUGUGCUUAUUAUUCCUUUAUGGGAGACGAUUACAAAAGGAAAUUUCAGAAGGAACUGUGUUAAAAAAAAACUCAAAGAAGGCUAGGGAUGCCAUCUACGGCAACGAACAGAGAGGUGCAGAGGACGACGCAGCCUUCGCCAAACCUCAACAAGAGAAGUACUACACGGAGAGAAGACAAGGACAGAAAGCCAAACGGAGGCCUGUAAAGCUAAAGAUAGGCAACUAACGCCAAUGAUUUACAUAAAGUCUUGAAAAGGAUCACGUUCCUUCUCCCGUUUUCACUGCUCAUCCACGCCGCAACCUGGUCUUUUUGCUCUUCGGUCAGAAACUCGCAAAAGAAUGCGCCACCUCUGCAUCGAUCAAAGAAGAAAUGGCAAAUUAUUUUGUACAUGUCACAUGGAGAUCUCCGGAAUUUCGCCUCGAUCCUCAUUUCGUUUCCAUGAUUCAUCUUAAAACUACAAGAUCACUUAUGCUCAAAGCUUGUUAAUUGUACACGCACAGCCUAACCCAACAUGACAAGGGAUCGAUUGGAUUGUCGGAUCAAAUUCUUGUGGGAAUUGCAGUAUUGCACUA